AGUAGCACUUUAAGAUUUUACAGACAUUUUUGACAGCCAUCGUCAGUAUAUAAAUAGAUGUAAGGGUUUUUUGCUAAUUUUUUAACUCAGUAAUAACCCCGGAAAGAAUCCUUAAUAUACAUGGCUGACUUGUUGGGGCAUGUUCAGAGAGGAACAAAGAGUUGGUCAAGUUGUCAAAUUGUUAAAAUUCUUCCUUUUGGCAACAAUAAACUAAAAGAAAACACUGUAGAGUCUAGUUCAAACAUAUAUUUUAGAUAAAUCAAGACCCACAUUUGCUAAGUCGUCACAAAAAAUUUUCGGCUUUCUUAGAGAGGUCAUAUGAAGUUUUAAGACCAGUUUGGCGAAGAAAGUCCAUCGUUGUUAAGCCAAUCACUUCCAGUUAGUAUAAUAGCGUGGGAAUAAUCAAACAAGCUGGAACCAAGAUGGCCCAAAAUCAAAACCAUAUGCAAAAUAUAGUAUCUUCGACGGAAGAUUUAAGACUGGGCAUUCGCAGCAAUGAAAACGAAAUCAAAAGCAAUAAGGCAAGGAUAUUAUCUUUGGAGGAAGAGUUAAGAGAAAGUCGCAGCAAUGAAAACAGCCUUGAAGAAAAGAUCAGAUCUUUAGAAAAUGAAAUACAARACCUGAAGGAUGAGAAUGAAAGGUUGGUUAAACAACUGCGAGACAUGGAAGUAAGAUUUCAGGAGCUAGAAAAGACCAAAAAUCAAGAAGACAGUGUGUUGAGAGCGGCUGGACGAAUUGAAUGGAAAGAUUUCUUGGGAUCAAAGUUUGGUGGAUAGCCUUAAAAACCUUAAUCAAGCCAGAGUCGGCAUCGCCCAUCCUGACCUUAGCAGUGAAAAGAUUCAAGAAGCUACAAAUUAUUUGAAAGAGGAGAAAAUGCUGAACGAGGGAAUGGUCGAUAUUAUAAACAAACUAAAAGAACUAUGGGAAACUUUCAAAGUUUUGUUGCAGACAAGCUCCGCAGAUGGUCAAGAUCAAAGUGGUUCAAGGGUUGUGCCUGCCGCAGGAAAAAAGGACCAAAAGCACGGCCUGAAUCUAAGAGGCAAGGGCCGGCACGUUAACGGACUUGCAUAUUCCAAUUCUACUCAGCCUCCUAAAAAGGCUAGGGUUUCAAGGCGCAGGUAAAUUAAUGUUUAAUGUUGACAAGAAGGUUCUACGUACUAGAGAAGCUUAUUUGGCAGCUCACUUAUAGUCUAAACAAUUUAGAUCUAAAAGUAGAAUCAAUUAGUUCUUGGUAUUUUUUAGCGGUUUAGAAAUGCCAUCAUUUACUAUUUAGGCUUUCAUAAUGUAUGGUGUGUGUGUGUGUGGGGGGGGGGGG